rnacentral:lncRNA from 1 species
UUUCAGAAUAAAUCUAAAUUUUUAAUGUAGACUUGCUAAUAUUUGAAAAAUUUUAUUGAGAUAAUCUAAUUUUUAUAAAGAAUUUUUAAUGAAAUUUUUCAAUGAUUGAAUUUAUCAUAAAAUAGAAUUAUAAACAAUGAACAGAUUUCUCCAUUGUAUUUCAUGUUUUGAUUAUCUUUGUUGGUAUUCAAUAUAAAUUAAACAUAAUAUAUUCAGUUUUGAUAUUCUAUAACUAAUCUCUUCAUUGAUCACUAUUAGAAUGGAUGUUUUAACUGAACCACUUAACACAUGCAUGCUGGCAGCCAGAUGGCCAAAUGGUAAUGCUGUCAGCAUGCCAUGCAGGAGGAUUCUGGUUCAUGUUCUUGGUCUGGUAACUCCUGAAAAGUUUUUUCUGGGUGCUGGUCCCGGCCUGGCGAUCCCCGUCCUUCUCCAUCCAACCCCUCUCUAUGGGUGCGGAUGCAGCCCAUGGUUGGAACUGGUCCUGUCCCUUAGUAAUCUCCCUGAUUGGAAAGAGGUGUAAAAUAUGCAUUAAAAAAAAUGCAUGCAUGCUUAGUUUAGAUUAUGAAAUAUUAUAUAACUAAAAUUUAAUGUGUGUCAAGUAUUAAACUAUUAUAAUAUGCAAGGUUUCCAUAAUCUAGAUGUUUAUUAUCUAAUAAUAAUAGGAAUUGGC